CACGCGUGGGCCCUGCGGGCGUCGUGGCAUCCGGGUCCUGCUGGGCGGGGCUUUUUGGGGCCCAGGCCGCAACUUUUGGGCUGUCCCGGGUCCCCGGCGCUCUUGACCUGGUUUCCUGGCUGCAGCCUCCAGCACCCGGAACCCCGGGAGAUUUGCGGGGGCGGGGAAGGGAAAGCUGUAGGAAGCGCGCGCGAGGCCGAACCGUGAGGCUGAGGCGGCUCCUGGGCCCAGCCCCGCCCCAGUCCCCGCCUAGCCGGGCCGAACCCGGCCUCCGAACGCCGUGUCGUGGGCUGCCACGGAGAAAGGCUCAGCUUGUCCCAGCGCGCUCCCAUCUCCCCAGCCUGGAUCCAGCACCUGAAAACGGCGAAGGAGGGCUGUCCUUGCCCAGCGACAUUUGGUUUACUUUUUCCGCCCUAGAGGAGGGCCUCCUGAAACCAGGUGCGAGAGAGGAGGGUGAAGACCUCCACUCGGUGACCCACAGCCCACCUCAGCCCAGAGAGGCCAGCUUAAGACCAGACUUGAGGAUUUUACAAGACCAGAGCGGUCCGUCUUUUGCUGAAAGGAUAUUUUGUGUAUUCGGUGCAGUGUAAUUUUGUAUUUUAAAACGUGGAUUUCUGUCUUUGCCUAUGAGCUUCUAAGUUGUCUGUGGGCGGAGUCCUUCAGCACUGAAUAGUGUGGCCGCCUCCCCUUUCCCCAGCUUGCACUUGUGGACCUUAAGCGGCCAGCGAAAAUGUUGACUGAGGACUGCAUGGAAGGUGUUCUGGUGUCUUCGUGAGAAGAUCCCUUUAGUGCUUCUGAGAAUCUGACUCAGGACUGUAUUGUCAACCCCCUUACCUAGAUAUCACGGAUAACAAAUGGACUCAGCGUCAAGGGGGCAGCAUUUGCUCCACUCAGUCGAUUGUUCCGUUAUGAUAAUACCGGCCCAGUAUUGACAAGUCCUCUGGUUUCUUUCAAGAGACCCAGGCAUAUGGUUUUUUAAGUAUAAUUCUCCAGGUUUUCAGAUGGUCAUGGUGGUGCAUUGGUUAAGCUCUGGGCUGCUACCGGAACUGCCAGCUGCUCUGCAGCAGAAAAGACCUGGCCUCUCCAGUAAAGACUUCACCUAGAAAACCCUUUGGGGCAGUUCUGCCCUGUCCUGUAGGGUGCUAUGAAUUGUAAUCAGAUCGAUGGCAAACAACUAAAGUAGAUGUUUUUAAACUACAUGAUAUUAAAGCACAGAUCUGAGCUGUCAAUUUCUGGUCUCUGACUUCAAGAUCAUCUCGGGCACUCCAGUAUUUAGAGAUAGGUUAAUGGAGGACACAGAGUGAUCAACCAGGAAGGUAGAAGGAAAUCCAAGAUAGUGUUGAGUUGUGGAAUCCAAAGGCAGAGAGGGUUUCAGGAAGGAGAGGAAUGGUCAGUUGUGUUCAGUGUUACUGAGAGGUCUGGUAAACUUGGGCCAGAGAUAUGGCUAAUGAAUUGGUCACCUUGGAGGUCACUGGAGGAUAUUGAUGGCCUUGGCUAGAUUAGCUUUGGUAAAUUGGAAGGUGGACCUGACUAAAGUGGGUUGAAAAGUGAAUGGGAAAGUGAAGAAAUGGAGACAGCACAUAUAAGCAACUUAAGACAAGUUUUUUUGUCAAAGGGAACAGAGAAAUUUGGGGAUAACUGUAGAAGGACAUGGGCCAAGGGAGAGAAUGCUUUAAUAGAUAGUAGAGUUCUAGAGUGUGAUUGUGUGCUGUGGAGAGGGUGAUGGUGAUGGGUGGUGCAGAAAAGAGAAGAUUUGACAGUAGGAGUGAAAUCCAUGAAAGAUAUGAGCAAACAGGGUUCAUAGCACCUGAAGAGGAUUGACCUUGGAUAGGAACAAGGAUGCUUUUACCAUGAUAAUAAGGUGACAAAAGUGAAGAGGCUUGCCAGUGCAGGGGAGAGGGAAAGCAAGUUUACUGUGUAAACCUAGCAGGACUGCCUUGGCAUUGGGUACCGAUUUGAGGUUUGUGAUCAUGAGUUUAAAGUUAAACCACUUGACCCAGUUGUGUGGUUUUCCUCCAGCAGCAUUCAACUGCUUGAGAACAGGCAUGAAGAAAAGAGAUAUGGUUUUUUAACACAAGUACAGUACCCAGGUACUUGCUUUAUGCAAUUAGAUGCUCUUCUAGAAAUGUGUCAAGUCUUUAGAAAAUUAACAUGUGACUCCUAUCUUUCUAGAAACCAAAUUAUACUAUUUGUCUUUUAUGUUCACAUUAAGACUUAACUAUAAUGAAAAGACAAACUUAGAGAAAAAUUACCGGGUAACUCUGGGAUAUUUGCAUUUUGCAUUUCUUCAGCCCCCCGCACCCCCACCCCAAAUAGUUCCUGGUAUAAUUAGGAAUAGCAAAGCUGACUUCCUCUAAAUUGUUAGCUUCUUUUUUUUUUUUUUUUAUUAACUUUUAUUGAGCUUCAAGUGAUCGUUUAUAAAUCAAGUCAGUCUGUCACAUAUAAGUUCAUAUACAUCUUACUCCUUACUCCCACUUGCUCUCCCCCUAAUGAGUCAGCCCGUUAGCUUCUUUUGGGCAUCAUUAAUAAUCUAUUCACUAUCUUUUAGAACUUUAUCUCAAACCAUUAUUAUCUUCCUAUCUUUAAGAGUAAGCUACAUCCACAUUGUAUGUUAGUUUGUUGUAGACAGCAUAUAGUUGGGUCUUUUUUUUUUUUUUUUAAUCCACUGUCAAUUUCUGUUUAAUUGGUGAAUUUGGGCUUUUUUAUUUAGUGUAAUUGUUGAUAUGUUAGAGCUUAAGUCUUCCAUUUUGUUUUUUGUUUCCUGUUCCUUGUUUUCUGUUUUAUUUUUCCUAUCUUUCUGUGGGUUGCUAAAACAUUUUUUAGACUUGCAUUUUAAUUUACAUAUAGUGCUUGGAGUGCAUCUCUUUGUAUAAUUACAGGAACAUCUUCUAAACUUUUAGUGUGAGCAAAUAUAAGAUGAUGUAUUCAGGGGGAAGAAUGUCAACUGUAUUUACAACUACAUGACCUGUGAGUUACCAGUUAGAAGCAAGAAAUGGGGUCCAAGUGGCCUUGGAGUCUGCUUUCUGAAGACAAAGACUCCAUUGGCCACUGUGGCACAAGGAUGAGAAAAUGCUGAGGAUCACUAGGAAGGAACCAAAGGAAAUGCUUUCUUCUUGUAGGAAGUCAUGGUGUGUCUUACUUCGUGGUAUUAGCUACAUGGGGAUCUCUAGAUGGGAAACUCCAGAGAUCUGGUUACUUAUUUAACUUAAAUGUUUAAUAUUACCAGCUCUGGAUGCUGGAGUCAUUGUUCUGGAUUCAGGUCCUGUCUUGGUGCCUUGUUAGCUUUGUAGUGUCAGGUGAAUUAUUAACUACCCAGCUGUAGGUUUCUCCUCUAAAAUAGCAUGAUAAUUGUACAACUUCACGUAAUGGUAAGGAUUAAAUGAGAAAAUGCAAGUAAAGCUUUUGGCAUAGUUCUAGGCACCAGUAAUCAUACAGUAAUGUAAACUGUUAUAAUUUAUUUUAUUUUUGUGCUUCCAUUACCUACUUUUCACUCCUAGCUCUGCCUUCUGAUUGAACAUAGGCUUUCUAGGUUUAUUAGUAGAAUCAGUUAAGUUACUGACUAGGGUUUCUCUGACCUGGUGCCUCUUCUUUCUGGGAAAGGCAUACUUGGUGCUAUGAUUCUCAGAGAUCUCUUGCCAAGAUCUUCCUUGGCUCCCACUGUUGCCCUCUUUAAAGCUUGCAAUAAUUAUGAUCAUUUAUAUGUUUUGAACUGUUUAAGCAAGAUAAUUGAUAAAUGAAGGAUGUGUUUAUUUUCUACAUAACAAUGGGGUAAGGCCUAAAGUUAGACCUGAACGCUCCUGCUGCCUCUGUGCUUAUUGGAGGACACGUGUAAGACGUGAUCAAUUCAGCAAUCAUUUAUUGAGUACAUGCUGUGUGCAGCUCCCUCUGCUAGGCAUUGGGAAUACAAAGAGGGCCCACGGUGUGUUUCCAGACCUUGAACUCAAAGUUUAACUGGUAAAACUGGUAGAAAAAAAUGAGAAACCAUUAAUGUGAUUGUUGUUAUAAUGGAAAGAAAUACAUUGUUGUGGACUCACAAUGUGGACUCAAAAGUCAUUCUCCAUGGGUGUAUCAUUGAGCUGCAUCUUAAAGGAGCGGAAGGCAUUAACAAGGGAGGCAAAGGCAUGUCAGGUGAAGGGUCAAAAUCAAGGACAUUAAAGUGCACAAGAGUUUUGGGAACAGCAAGUCACCCAACACCAUUGGACUAGGGUGUAGAGCAGUGAUGUAAAUAAGACAUCUAGAAAACUACCAGUGCUUACCAAUAUCAGCUGCCAAGGUCAACCCCUUUCUCCUAACAUUUUAAAGACAUGCCCUUCUAUUUCAUCUCCUGCUCAGACCGCAGGCAUUUUUUUUUCUUAUUGAUGGGUGCUUUCUUCAGAUCGGAAACCCUGGUGGCGUAGUGGUUAAAUGCUACGGCUGCUAACCAUAAGGGUUGGCAGUUCGAAUCCGGCAGGCGCUCCUUGGAAACUCUAUGGGGCAGUUCUACCCUGUCCUAUAGGGUCGCUAUGAGUCGGAAUCAACAGCACUGGGUUUGGUUUUUUGGUUUUUCUUCAGAUCACUGGGAAAGUCCUAUUUCUUUUUAUCUUUCAGCUCAAGUUACUGCUCUCUAAAGUCUAAAGGACCCUCUGCUUAUUUGGAAGGUAGGUUAAUUUUGUCCUAUGUGUUCUUACCUGCGUUUUCAAUGCAAGGCAUGCAUUGAUAACCCUGUAAUCAUCCAUCUCAUCUGUACAUUUUUCAUUUAGUAAAACACUUUUAUGCCUGCCCUUUCAAAUGAUGCUAACAGCUCCAUUUGGUGAGUCAGGCACAGUUUUGUCCUAAACUUAAGAAACGAAGUGACUUGCUCAGGGUUGUCUGGCAACUUGUUGGCAAAACCAGAAUGAGUACUCAGGCCUUCCAGCCCCACCCUGCCUUUUCCUGUUCUCCCACUGACUGCACAGAGCUCCUUACUCUGUCAGGUAACCCUUCCAUUUUUAUAGGCUUCUGUGGAUAUAGGAAGCUCUGGUGGCACAGUGGUUAAAGUGCUCUGCUGCCAACCAAAAGGUUGGCGGUUUGAACCCACCAGCCACUUGAGAGAAAAAUGUGGCAGUCAGCUUCUGUAAAGAUUUACAGCCUUGCAAACCCUAUAGGGCAGUUCUGCUCUGUCCUGUAGGGUCACUAUGAGUCAGAAUCAACUUGAGGGCAGUGGGGUUUUCUUUUUUUUUUCCUCUGGAUGAUGCUUUACCUCAGAGGCUACCUUAGAAGGGGAAGGGGAAGGAAGGCCUAUCAGGCGUCCCCUAUCCUCUUUUACUCCUCCCAAUUUUAUGUGAUUUGCUUGGGGGAGGGAGGGGAGGGAGGUAUCUGCUGCAAAACAAGUUGGAAACUACUGCCUUAACCCAAAGGGAAGACUUUAAUGGUGAAAAUUUCAGGUACCAGGGCAGGAAGAUAGCAGAGGUAUUUGAGGGUGAGGUCUUACUCAUCUAUAAGUAUGUCCUGAAUUUUUGCCUGGAGCCUUAGUCUACGCUCAAGGGUAGCUAAUACCAGAAAGAGACGAUGAACCUACUCUCAAGUGCCUUAUAUUUAGUUGGAAAGACCAGACUAGACCCUGUGAACCUUAGUAGGUGAAAGUCAAGGAUGAAGAGGCAAGUGAAGAGGUGUUGACUAUAUGCUGUAGAAUCACUAUGAAUUGGAAUCGACCAGAUGGCAACGGGUUGGGUUUUAUAUGUCCGAGAGGAAUGGAGAGGUCAGUGGACAUCACAGUCAUAUGAAUUUGAAUCUCCAGGGAAGUUAUGAGGUGAAUCUUAGCACUGGGUGAGUUGGAAUAAACCUAACCUCAUUCUAUUUGUAUGAAAUAUCCAGAACAGACAACUCUAUGGAGACAAAGUAGAUUAGCAAUUGCCUAGGGCUGAGGUGGGGAAAUGGAGAUUGAGAAGAUUGUGGGGUGACGGCUAAGGCAUAUGGGGUUUCUUUAGGGUUGAUGAAAGUGUUCUAAAAUUCGUUGUGAUGAUGCUUGUACAAUUCUGAAUAUACUAAAAGCCAUUGAAUUGUGUACUUUAAAAGGGUAAAUUGCAUGCCAUGUGAAUUAUGUCUCAAUAAAGCUGUUAAAACAAAAACAAACCUAACCUGGACCAAGCUCAACAAGGAAGGUACCCAUCAGCUUCCCCAGACCUGUGUAGGGACUGGUACCUAGUAGAACAGUCAACAGAUACUUUUAGAUGUAUAUAUGGGUGUGCAUAAAGGAAAUGGAGCCCUAGUGGUGCAAUGGUUAAGAGCUCGAAUGUUAACCAAAAGGUCAGCAGUUCGAGUCCACCAGCCCUUCACUGGAAACCCUAUGGGACAGUUCUCCUCUGUCCUGUAGGGUUGCUAUGAGUUAGAAUUGACUCAGUGGCAAUGGGUUUGGUUUUAUAAGGUAAAUAAGCAACUGCAAUGGGGUAUAAUUAGUACUAUACUAGGGAAGUGUAGAGGCUUCUGUGACAGGAGCAUAGUGGAGGGUCAGCGUCCUGAAGAAAUUUGUGAUGUCUAUGUUGAUGUUUGUUGAGUGAGCAGGCAUUAGCAUGGCCACAUGAGGGGUGGGAAUAGUGUACCGCAAGUGGCUUAGUGAGACUCGAGUAUGGAGUGAGAAGUUAGGUGGCAGAAAUGAGGCCAUAGACAGGAGCAGAUCCAGAAGGGCAAGGGCCUGUAGUAGUAGAUUUAUGUUUUAGAGAUCACUUUGACUGUACCAUGGAGGAUGAAUUGAAGAGGGACAAGGAGCCUGUGAGAAGGCAGUGUCCAGGUAAGAGAUCAACGUGUCCUGAACCCAAGUGGUAACAAUAGGGAUAAAAAAAAAGUGGACAGUUUAGAAACAUUCAGAUUUAAUUGAGAGGAUGGCUGAUGGCUGGGAGGAGGAGACAGAGGGAAGAGUUAAGGAUGAAGUCCAGCUGUAUCGCUUGGGUACCUGGGUAGUUGGAAACUCAGGAGCCCUGGAAGAGGAACAGGCUUUGGGAAGAUGUUGAGUUCAGCUUUGAUUAUGUUGAGUUCGAGGUGCCUGGGACAUUCAAAAGAAGGUGUCCAGUCAGUAGUUGGAUAUAGGGAUCUGGAGCUGAUGAGAGAGCCAUAUGAAUCAUCAGCGUACCGCCUGAGCAGGAGAAUGGAUGAAGUGGUACAGAGAAUGUGUUUCAAGAGAGGAGGAAAGGACCUGGAAUGGAACCCUGUGGAGUCACCUUUAAGAGGAUGCUUGAGGAGGAGGAAAAGGCUCUAAGGAGAAUCACAGUAGAUGGCUGGAAGCUUAUAUGUUGAUCAUAGCAAUUCAUCUGCUUAUUUAGCCGUUGUACGUCAGCAUUUACUGAGUGUCAGCCUUGGGCGUAUUCAGAGACAAGUGAGACUUGACCCUUGACAUCAAACAGACUAGUGGCCACCACCCAAUUACAGCCUUCUGAAACAAGAGACCCCUUUUUCACAGGCCAGUGCCAGUCUUAUUUUCUAAGCAAUAGAUUAUACUUCCUUAGCAGUUUAUCUACAGCACUGGAGUCCUUCCCAAGCUCACCCUCCUGAAUCAGACAGGCCUAGAAGAGUGUGCCUUUCUGAGACCUUGGUGCCCAAGCCUGGCAGCCAAACCAAGAGCUCUCUGUCCAUGGGGAUGGAUGGCCUGCACAGGGCAUCUCAGGGCUGUCUUGGAGGAUGGGGCAAGGGAAAAAGGGAGCCUGUCAUAUGCUUGGGGCUCAGCAAAUUAUACCCACACACCAGGCACAGAAACACACAAGGAAGGCACCCCCGCUCUGUGGGUGAGACAAAGAAGCAUCCUCUUCCCAUGUGCCAACCCAUCUGCUUCUUUGCCUUCACAAACAUGCUUUUUUCCUUUUUUUUUGUUCUCUGCAGCUUUGAAUACACAAGGAAGAAGAGUGGGAGAUGGGAGGAAAGUCAUACAGAAAAUGGUCUGCAAAGAGCAUGUCAUUGUUUUAAAAAACAACAGGACUAUCACUUUUUUGGAUAUCUCCAGGACGGCCCCUGUCACCAGAUAGAAGAGUGUGGUGGACGUGUCCUUAAUAUACAGAAGAACCAAUGGAGUCCUUGAACAAUGUCCAGGAAGGCCCCUGUCUCCUUCUCUGUGAGCUGUGACAACACCUUCAGGACACCCUGGAUGGACUCUGUCACCGUCAGUGGGGGCUGCAGAACACACAACCCCCGUGGCCCAGCUGAAUUCACCUGACCCAGACUACCUACAACUGGACAUGUGAGGCUGAACCAAAGUCAGGGAGGUGGCCAGAAGAGGCAGGACCCCUAUCUUCAUGGCCAAAAAAUGACACUCAUGUGAACACACACCAAAGGAUUCCCAUGUAAUCCAUCUGCUCCCUCUCUAAUCCACCACCUCUUCUGGAGCACACCCCUCUUACCCCAACCUCUCAUUCUCUAGCACCCACUUCCUAAGAUGCACUAUUGCCCUUUUCUUGGCUGGUGGACUCCCAGGAACAGCAUAGACCUGUGCACUCAACCUUCCUGCUAGGCAACUAUCUUGGGCAACACACCUAAUGACAACAUAUGUCCCUCCUGCUGCUGAUAGCCUGAAAGAAUGUUGCUUCAUUUGACCUGACAUCUCUGCCAAGCUCUCCUGAGAGUCCUACUCUGUUGCCCUGUUCCCAGGUGCCAGCAGGGCCAUAACUUUGGGGGUUGGGGGAACUGACACUCACAAUGUGCAAAGUGGAAGAGCCCAUGUCUGUGUGCACCCAGCCAGGGCUGAUACCUGCACACAGGAUGCCUUCCUCGGCAUAGGCCAGAGCUUGGCGCCAGGUCGGCAUGUUCAGAGCAGCCUGGGAAAGGGAUGAGUUACAAGGGCUAUGGCAGAGUCAAGGAUGCUCCAAAUUCAGCUGAAGUCCCAGGCACUCUCUUCUCACCUUCCUACAGCUGUAAGACACAACUUUCCCAAGUUCCCACUUCCAUAAUUGUGCGAUGAAACCUGUAGCACUGGAAACGUUGAUGAUGACAGCUCUUGGCCAGCUCAGUUCCUUCUGGGGGUGGGUGCAGGCAGCCUUCCUCAGCAGUGAGCCAAUGACCUGCAAGAUGUGAUGUGGGGAGAGCUGUGCAAGUAAGAAGGUUCAAGGCCUCAGCAUUUCAUUCUUGACAAAUCUAAACCUGACAGCCAUCUGUCAGUGGCUGUUGAGUUGAUUCUGUCUCAUAGUGACCCCUAUGUGUGUCAGAGUAGAACUGUGCUUCACAGGAUUUUUAAAGGUUGAUUUUUUUAAGUAAGUGGAUCAUUGGGCCUUUCUUCUGAGGGGUCUCUGGAUGGAUUUGAACCUUUAACCUUUGGGUCAGCACCUGAGAGUAUUAACUCUUUGCACUAUCAAGAGAUUCCAAACCUGACAACAAGCUCAUUAUAUUUCCAUUCCACAAGAAAGGCUACAUGAUCUGACUUGGGAGCAGGCAUCAGGUCUAUUGGAACCAGACCUGUUCUCCAACCUGGUCUACUCAUUUCUGGUUCCCUGUUCCAGAACCCUGAGAUCACAGGGAAUCAGCUGAAGGGCAGGAUCUAAUCUUGGCCAGCAGGUGGCGGUAGGGGCUUACCUGGCCAAGAAGCCCCGCAAGGGUUGUCGAGUAUAACAAGUGCAUGUAGGAUGCAGUAUCUGUAUCCAGUGAUGAGUUUCACCAGCCCAGCGUUGUUGGCCAGCACCUAACAUUCAGCUAGCUGGAUGGAUGUGGGGCCUGUGAUGUCUUUGGGGAAAAGGCAGAGCUGGCAUCAGAUCUUUGCCUCAUCCCCCUACCCUCAUUCUCUGGGUUUCUGCUUCUAGUUUGAUGGCCCAUCCCCCUCCUCAUCAUAACACAUUAAACCUCCUACUGUCCAUGGACUAAAGACUGAGGCUUUGUGUGUGGGAACUCUGUCUAAGAGGUCUGUCUUUUCGCCAUGCCAUCCUCACGAUCAGCUGAGCAGAGAUGAGAGAUUUUUGACCUGUGGAUAGUAGGGUAGACAUUCAGACCUAUGAGUAUUCACAGUGGGUAUGGGGAGCCUCUCCAAAGGAAGGUCAGUUGGGUGAGUUUCAGAACGGGUCUAGACCAUGCCCAUGUAGAAGUCAGUUGAAAGCAGAUCCUGUGACAAAUGUGAAUCAGGGUGGGGACCUAGUGGGGUGGGGGGAGUUGGCAGGGUAGAGAAUCCUGAAAGCAGGGAGAUAAAUAGCCCAUGGCUGGUUGUGCCCUCACCAAGGCGAAGGAUCCGCAGGUUUGGUUCCUGUUCUGCCAGAUCUCGGAGGCUCUGGGGGAGAGGGUGCAAGGGUGACCCUGGACCUCACAAACCUUUUCCCCACCUCACACUCAGCUUGGCCCUGGAAGCCCCUUACCUGUGCUUGGGGCCCACUGGGGUUCCGGCCUGUGGCAGAAACCAGCUUGGGAGGCUGGGACAGUGCCAGCAGUUGCGGCACCAGCUACAGCCCAAGGCCAUGGUUCGUGCCUGUCACCAAGGCACUGGAAAGACUGUUCUGGGACAUGGCGCUGAAGCCUCUCGCAGAUCCUUCUCUCUGUCUAGCUGCUCUUCAAUCUGUGGAUGUUUUGGAUCCUUGUGGCUGUAAUCCGAUGGGAAUGGGUCCUGCCCUUUGUGACCCCUUGAGUCAAUUGAGAGAUACCAGGCCUUUGAGAAACAGAAAGUGGACUUUGUUGCAAACCAGUCAAGCAAGGAGCUUGGAGACUAAAUCUCAAAUCAAGCUCCCUGAGGUUGGGGAUUUUAGGGUAGUUAUAGGGUUUGGGAUAGGGAACUUAUGCAUAAUUCAUAAGAAUUUCUGAGAGUAGGUGGGCAAUUUUAGGAACUAAUUAACACGUAUAGGGGUACAGAUGGGUUGCAAUAUGACAGCUGGGGGCUAUGACACAUGAAGUUUUUCUAAGGCCAGGUUUGCAGCUAAUAAGCUGCAAUUCGGGGGCGGGGGGGUGGCAGUUAGUGAGUAGUGAAGCGGCCUUGAGCAGGGAAACAGGUAAGAUGACCUUGUGUUAUUACACAGAAAUGUCUUAUCAGGAAUUCACAGGUCGGGGGAUGGGUGUUGGGCAGAGGGGGAAUAGUUUAACCCUGUUGGUUACAUUACCCCCUCUGGUUUUCAGGGUCUUCAAUCUUGAAGAUAUAUCUUUAUGUAGGUGAUGGCCCAGACCCCUGGAGCUUUUUUAUUUUUUUAAAAAGUGAUCUUUAUUUGUCUUUUGGGGUUGGAAAGAUUACAUAUAAAGUUAUAGAUAUAUUUUAACAUUGUAUGUAUUACACAAAAUUAAAAAAAUUUUUUUUUAUUUUAUGUAGUAUAUAUUACUAAUGAUAAAAUGUACAAAAAAACCCAAAACAGUCGUAAGUGCUGUGGUUCAUUGUAACUCAAAUACACUGUAAGUCGAGGGCUUCCUGUAUGUCAUGCGUACACACAGUCAUUCUAUAAAUAAUGUUAUAUCCUAUUUUUUAUUUGUCUUUACAUAGUAUACAUGAGUAUAACAGUAUUUUCACAUGUCAUUAAAGAUCUUUAAAUGCCUCCAGUUUUUGAUGGCCAUCGAAGUAGCAUGCCUACCUGGAGACAGCACUCGUAUCGUCAUGGUGCAACAAGCUCUCAUUUAUACGAUUCCUGAACUUUGGCAGUAAUCUUUAACUGAAACCACUUAGGGUACAUAGAAAAGUCUCUUUAAUCUGUUAUCCAAUGGGUUAUAUGAAGCCCCACUGAUAUUAUAUAAAUACCGAAGUGUAUUCGGUGCCAAAAUGUCACUGAGAUUCUAUCAGUGGCUGCAGUGCAAACAGAAUUUACACAUUUUAAAAAGCAGCUGCAAAUAAUGCAAAGAAAGGCAGAUGCUGAUUCUGAGGGUUCAUGUCAAAUUUCUAAAUUAUAAAUGUAGCAUUGCUCAUCUGAUCAGAAGAGAUUUGGCCAGAGGGUCAGUAUAGCACACUGGAAAAUCUGAGCUUAGUUCCAAACCAGUGUUUUAUAAUUAUGGAUGAAAAAAAUAAAAAGUGCAUUUUGAAGGUCUGUUAAGUAUGUUUUAAAAAGUCAACUUACUAAGAACUUAUUUUUAAAAUAGAUCUCUCUGUUUGUUCAAGGGCAUCAAACAUCUUAGCCCACAAAAUUUUAUAGGGAUAAUUAGUGCCUUUUGGUGAAAUGUAGUCAUAAAUCUAAACUCCUAUAAUGUAUAGAAAAUGUACAAUUUUUUGGAAAAAGUGUGAAAUAAGCGUCUAAUAAAGCACACCAAGAUAUGGUAGAAAUUAACUCUUUAAUAACCCUACAUGGCAACUUUCAUCUCUAAUAUUUCUUCCCAAACUAAUGCAAGCUCUCUGUGAAGCUUAAGAUUGUGUGUCAUCUUGGCUGGACCAUGAUCCUCAGUGUUUUAUAUGUGAUCACUCCCAUGACUAAAUCUGCUGUGAGUAGCCAAUCAGUUGAAAGGGAGUUUCCUUGGGGAUGUGGCCUGGAUCCAAAUAUAAGCAGAUGUUCUGGAUUUUUUGCUCACUCUGGAUCCUGCGCAGCCUCCUGUUUGUCUGACCUCUGGUUCUUGGGACUUGAGCUAUCAGCUUAUCUGUAGAUCUUGGAAUUCGGGGAUCUUCACAGCCCGAGAGCAGGAGCCCCACUCUCCAACCUGCCAAUCGUGGGUUUGCCAGCCCCUGUGACUGUGUGAAUUGAGAGAAACUUCUAUCCUGAUGCACAGACUUGGGACAUUGGAGCCUCUACAAUCUCAUGAGCCAUUUCCUUGAUAUAAAUCUCUGUUUAUAUAUAUUUAUACGCUUUACUGGUUUUGCUUCUCUAGAGAACCCAGCCUAAGAUUGCCUCUAAAACCUGAAAAACCAGACCCAUUGCCAUCGAGUCAAUUCUGACUCAUAGUGACCCUAUAGGUCAGAGCAGCUGGUAGAUUUGAACUGCUGACUUUUUGAUUAACAGCCCAGUUCUUAACUCAAAAUUGCAUAGAAAAUUUAUGAUAGAAAAAGCUCCUUGAUUACCUAGUACAGCUUUCUUAUUUUAUAGGUAAGGAAACCAAGGCUCAGGAGGUAGUUUGUAUAUCAGCAGAUUGUUCGACUGGGGAUUAGAAUCAGAUUUUAGCUAAGGUUUUUCGAAUAUGGCCACUAAGACUCAUAACACAUAAACAAGUUUUAUAUGUGACGAAAUUUCACCAAGAUAAAACAAGAUUGUCCCAUUGCCUCUGAUGCCUUUGAACUGAAAUUCUCUGUGUUGGAGGUUUUGCAAUUCAGAUAAUUCAAGUUUCUUUGAACUCUAUGUCAUUACUCUUUCUUGUAAUUCAGUGAUAAAGAGGAGUUAAAUUUCAAAAGUGGAACAUGUUCUGAUUUCCGAAUUAGUGCUCUAACAUGCCAAAUACUUGCAAGUACACCCACAAAAGUCCAAACUAUUACAUAAAAUAUAUUAAUUUUAAGUCUUAUAAAAGCACAUUUCAAUGGCAUCUCCCCCGGAAAUUUUGAGCUUACUGACUGGUGUAAGCAUGUGCAAUGUAGGAUCUGAGGUUUGUUAAGGGGAAUGCAGUCGGAUGCUGAAGCAUCAUGAUGUUUACACCUUUUAGGUGAUUUUGAAUGAACAUGGUAAGACAGUUUAAGAGGCAGGGCAAAAACAGACAGGUUAGUAAAAGAAUUAUCAGCAGAGUAACAGGGAGCCAGAGCCAACAAAAAGUGGGAAACAGGGAAGUUAUUUAUGACAACCAAUCAGAUGAAGUUUUUAGCUGCUGUAGAAAGAGAAGGAAGAACACAAUGAUUGCCAAGAUGGUAAAGGCAAUGUAAACAUUAAGAGCACAAUCAUGAUGGAGGGUCUCCCAGUUGGAGGGGCACAGGUUUAGGCAUGAGUUUUUUACUUUUACUUUUUAACAGAUAUUUUAAGUCCUACACAGGCUUACAGGUCCAGUUGUUUUGUUGAGUUUGUUCUUGUUGCAGAGGAUCUUCCGGGGAUGGUGCAGGUUUGAGGCAACUGUGAUGCACCGAAGCUUUGAUGUUUUUGAGUUUAGUUGCAGAGUGGGUGGUUAAAAGAACAGUGUACAGCCUAGUCCACCGGAAUUCCAGGGGCUUAGCUUUCCAGGUUUUCAGCAGAACUUGGUUACCAGGCUGGAAUGAGUGAAGUGGGGCAUCAACAGGAUAUUUCAGACAGCCUAGAGCAAACAUGUGAAUAGGAGAUAGAACAGCAGACAACGACAACAAAUAUUUUUGGAGAGCAAGCUCCCUGGUGACAGAAACCUGAGUAUUGGUUAAAGGCAGCCUGGGACCAGGUGAUCUCAGCCAGGCCACAGGGAUCGUGAGUUCUGCAGCUCCCGCUGAAGGUGAUAUAGUCCAUCUGGGGCAUUUUGAGGUGAUGGCUUGGAUUACAGAGAAGGAGGCAGGGACCUGCUGAUGCCUGAUGAUCAUCCUUGAGGAUCACACUCAACCCUGGUUUGGAGCUGGUUCAUUCUGGUGAUCCCUUGCUGAGAAUUUGCAUUUUCACCCUAGAUAUAAGGUUUGAAAAUGGAAUGCUUCAACAUUGAUAUCCUAAGCAUUAGUGAGCUGAAAUGGACUAGUAUUGGCCAUUAUGCAUUGGAUAAUCAUAUAGUCUACUAUGCCGGAAACAACAACUUGAAGAGGAACGGUAUUACAUUCAUUGUCAGAAAGAACAUUUCAAGAUCUAUUCUGAAGUACAAUGCUAUCAAUGAUAGGAUAAUAUGCAUACACUCACAAGGAAGACCAGUUAACACGACUAUUAUUGAAAUUUACACACCAACCACUGAGGCCAAAGAUGAAGAACUGAAGAUUUUUAUCAGCUUCUGCAGUCUCAAAUUGAUCAAACAUGCAAUCAGGAUGCAUUGAUAAUUACUGGUGAUUGGAAUGUGAAAACUGGAGACAAAGAAGAAGGAUUGGUAGUUGGAAAAUAAGGCCUUGGUAAUAGAAACAAUGCCAGAGAUUGAAUGACAGAAUUUUGCAAGACCGACUUCUCCUUUGCAAAUACCUUUUUUUCCCCAACAUAUACGACGACUAUACACAUGGACCUCUCCAGAUGGAAUACGCAGGAAUCAAAUCGACUACAUCUGUGGAAAGAGGCCAUGGAAACGUUCAAUAUCAUCAGUCAGAACAAGGCCAGGUGCCAACUGUGGAACAGACCAUCAAUUGCUCAUAUGCAAGUUCAAGUUGAAACUGAAGAAAAUCAGAACAAGUCCAUGAGAGCCAAAAUAUGACCUUGGGUAUAUCCCACCUGAAUUUAGAGACCAUCUCAAGAAUAGAUUUGAUGCACUGAACGCUAAUGACUGAAGACCAGGCGAGUUGUGGAAUGACAUCAAGGUCAUUAUACAUGAAGAAAGCAAGAGGUCAUUGGAAAGACAGGAAAGAAAAAAAAGACCAAGAAAGAUGUCAGAUGAGACUCUAAAACUUGCUCUCGAACAUCAAGCAGCUAAAGCAAAAGGAAGAAAUGAUGAAAUAAAAGAACUGAAUAGGAGAUUUCAAAGGGCAGCUUGAGAAGACAAAGUAUUAUAACGACAUAUGGAAAGAACUGGAGAUAGAAAACCAAAAGAGAAGAACACGCUCGACGUUUUUCCAGCUGAAAGAACUGAAGAAAAAAUUCAAGCCUCGAGUUGUCAUAGUGAAGGAUUCUAUGGGGAAAAUAUUAAAUGAUGCAGGAGGCAUCAAAAGAAGAUGGAGGGAAUACACAGAGUCAUUAUACCAAAAAGAAUAGGUUGACAUUGAACCAUUUCAAGAGGUAGCAUAUGAUCAGGAACCAAUGGUACUGAAGGAAGAAGUCCAAGCUGCACUGAGGGCAUUGGCAAAACACAAGGCUCCAGGAAUUGACAGAAUAUCUAUUGAGAAGUUUCAACAAAUGGAUGCAGCACUGGAAGUGCUCACUCGUCUAUGCCAAAAAAUUUGGAAGUCAGCGACCUGGCCAACUGUCUGGAAGAGAUCUAUAUUUAUGCCUAGUCUCAAGAAAGGUAAUCAAACCAAAUGUGGAAAUUAUCAAACAAUAUCAUUUAUAUCACAUGCAAGUAAAAUUUUGCUGACGAUCAUUCAAAAGCAGAUGCAGCAGUAUAUCAACAGGGAACUGCCAGAAAUUCAGGCCGGAUUCAGAAGAGGACAUGGAACCAGGAAUAUCAUUGCUGAUGUCAGAUGGAUCCUUGCUGAAAGCAGAUAAUACCAGAAGGAUGUAUACCUAUGUUUUAUUGACUAUGCAAAGGCAUUCGAGUGUGUGGAUCAUAACAAAUUAUGGAUAACAUUAUGAAGAAUGGGAAUUCCAGAACACUUUAUUGUGCUCAUGAGGAACCUUUACAUAGAUCAAGAGGCAGUUGUUCAGACAGAAUAAGGGGAUACUGAGUGGUUUAAAGUCAGGAAACAAGUGCAUCAUGGUUGUAUCCUUUCACCAUACCUAUUCGAUCUGUAUGCUGAGCAAAUAAUCUGAGAAGCUGGACUAUAUGAAGAAGAACAGGGCAUCAGGAUUGGAGGAAGACUUAUUAACAACCUGCCUUACACAGAUAACACAACCUUUCUUGCUGAAAGUGAAGAGGACUUGAAGCACUUACUAAUGAAGAUCAAAGACCACAAUCUACAGUAUGGACUACACCGCAACACAAAGAAAACAAAAAUCCUGACAACUGGACCAAUAAGCUGGGCUGGCUAAGCUACAUCAUGAUAAAUGGAGAAAAGACUGAAGUUGUCAAGGAUUUCAUUUUACUUGGAUCUACAAUCAACACCCAUGGAAGCAGCAGUCAAGAAAUCAAAAAAGCAUUGCACUGGGCAAGCCUACUGCAAAGGACCUCCUUAAAGUGUUGCAAAGCAAAGAUGUCAUCUUGAAGACUAAGGUGCGCCUGACCCAAGCCAUGGUAUUUUCAAUCACAUAAUACGCAUGUGAAAGCUGGGCAAUGAAUAAGAUAGACCGAAGAAGAAUUGACACCUUUGAAUUGUGGUGUUGGUGAAGAAUAUUGAAUAUACCAUGGACUGCCAAAAGGAUGAACAAAUCUGUUUUGGAAGAAGUACAACUAGAAUGCUCCUUAGAAGCAAGGAUGGCAAGACUGGGUCUUACAUACUUUGGACAUGUUGUCAGGAGGGAUCAGUCCCUGGAGAAGGACAUCAUGCUUGAUAAAGUACAGGGUCAGCGGAAAAGAGGAAGACCCUCAAGGAGAUGGAUUGACACAGUGGCUGCAACAGUGAGCUCAAGCAUAACAAUGAUUUUAAGGGUGGUGCAAGACUGGGCAGUGUUUUGUUCUGUGGUACAUAGAGGGUCACUAUGAGUUGGAACUGACUCCAUGGCACCUAACUACAACAACCCUAGGUAUUCUGAAUCAGAGUCUACAUUUUAAAAAGAUCACAAGAAUCACCAAGUGUCUUAGUCAUUUAUUGCUGCUGUAAUAGAAAUACCACAAGCAGUUGGGUUUAACAAACAGAAGUUUAUUCUCUCACAGUCUAGUAGGCUAGAAGACAAAUUCAGGGCAUCAGCUCCAGGGGAAGGCUUUCUCUCUCUGCUGGCUCUGGAGGAAGGUCCUUGACAUUAAUCUUCCCCUGGACUAGGAAGUUCUCCGUGCAGGAAUAACAGGUCUGAAGGACACGCUUUGCUUGACGCUGCUUUCUUGGUAGUAUGAUGUGUUUCCCGCCACUCCCCCCGCCCCCCGCCCUCUGUUCGCUUCCCAUUGCCACACCCUAGGGAAAGUCCCAUUACAUUGGAUUAGGGAUGUGACUUUAGUAAGGGUGUUACAAUCCCACCCUAAUCCUCUUUAGUAUAAAAUUAAAAUCACAAAAUAGAGGACAACCAUACAAUACUGGGAAUCAUGGCCUAACCAAAUUGACACAUAUUUCUGGAAGACUCAAGUCAGUCCAUGAGACCUGGGGAUCUUGUGUUAAAAUGUAGAUUCUAACUGGAUAUAUCUGGAAUGAAAUGCAAAUUCUCAGCAGGAGGUUGAACUAGAACAGACUGGUUCCAAGCACUGUUUUUUAUUAAGGUAAAGUACACAGAGCACAAAGUAAACAUUAACCAAUUUAAAGUGUAUGAUUUAGUGGCAUUAAGUAUAUUUAUAAUGUUAUGUGAUCAUCGCCUCUAGGGAACUUACACUCAUUAAGGAGUCACCUCUAUUCCCCACACCCCCUAGUCUGUGGCAAUCAUUACUCAGCUUCUGUCUCUAUGGAUUUGCCUAUAUAGGUUGUUUCAUAUAAAUGGAUUCAUACAAUAUGUGACCUGUUGUGUCUGGUUUCUUUCACUUAGCUAAAUGUUUUCGAGGUCCAUUCACACUGUAGCAUGCAAAGUACUUCGUUCCUUUUUAUGGCUGACUAAUAUUCAAUUGUAUAUGCAGUCAUUCCUUGGUAUCCAUGGGGGCUUGAUUCCAGGACCUGCUGCAGAUACCAAAAUCUCCAGACGCUCUAGUUCUUUAUAUAAAAUGAUGUGAGUCUUACACGUCACCUAUGCACAUCGUCCUGUAUACUUUAAAUCAUCCCUAGAUCACUUAUAAUACCUAAAACAAUUUAAAUACUAUAUAAAUAGUUGCUAUAUUGUAUUUUUUAGGGAAUAACGACAAGAAGAAAAAGGGUGCACACAAGUAACGAAGGAGAUGCGAGGCAAGCAAUGCUCAAACAAAUGAUCUGAGGUUGGUUGAUUCUAAGGAUGCAGGUCCUGCGGAUAUGGAGGGCUGACUGUAUAUACCACAAUUUUUGUCUCCAUUAGCCCGUUGAUAGACAUUUGGGUUGUUUUUACCUUUUGGUUACUGUAAAUAGUGCUGCUGUGAACAUUCCUGUACAAGAAUUUGUUUGAGUUCUUGUUUUAAAUUUUUUUAAUUCUAUAUCUAGAAAUGGAAUUGGUGAGUCAUAUUAUAAUUCUAUGUUUAACUUUUUGAGGAACCACCAAACUGUUUUCCGUAGUGCCAGCAGUAUUUUACAUUCCCAUCAGCAGUGCCGCAGGAUUCUAAUUUCUCUACAUCCUUAUCAAUAUUUGUUAUAUUAUUCUUAUUCUUUUUUUUUAAUUAUGGCCACCCUAACAAUUAUAAUCCUGUGAAAUGGUAUCUCAUUGUGUUCUUGGUUUGUAUUUCUGUAAUGACUAAUGACAGUGAAUGUCUUUUCAUGUGCUUAUUGGGCAUUUGCAUAUCUUCUUUGGAGAAACGUCUAUUCAAGUCCUUUGCCAGUUAAUUCAAGUCCUUUGCCCGUUAUUUAAUUGAAUUGUCUGUCUUUUUGUUGUAGAAUUUGUAAGAGUCCUUUAUGUAUUCUGUGUACUAGACCUUUAUCAAAUAUAUGAUUUUCAAAUAUUUUCUCCCAUCUGUGAGUAAGUGGUAAGUGGCCUUUGCAAUUCUCUUUCUAGAUAGUGUCCUUUGAUGUAUAAAAAUGUUUAAUUUUGAUGAAGCUGAGUUUCUCUAUUUUUUUGAAGGUUUGUUGUAGCUUUAUUUGUAAUAACCUAAAAUUACAAAUAAUUUUAAUAAGAAAUAAAUAAUAACAAAUAGUUACAAAUAACCCAAAUAACCAUCAACAGGUAACGGAUAAACAAAUUGUAGCAUACUACUACUCAGCAAUAAAAGGGAAUAAAUUUGAUACACACAACAGCAUGAAAAAACUCAUAGACAUUUAGAGAACACAAUCUAGGUGCUGAGGGUGCCCACAGUUAUAGGGUCAAUCACGGUUUCUAGGUAAUUUCAUUGUAUAAUGCUAGAAAAUAUAUAAUAUUUUUUAAAUAGAAAAUGCAUGAUGAGUUUUCUCUUUGUUAUCUAGUACUACUACAACAGAAAUAUCACAAAUGGAUGGCUUUAGCAAACAGAAAUUUAGUUUCUCACAACUUAGAAGGCUAGAAGUUCGAAUUCAGGGUGCCAGCUCUAGGGGAUGGUUUUCUCCCUCUGUUGGCUCUGGAGGGAGGUCCUUGUCUCCUUUCAACAUCUGUGGGCCCAGCAUUCCUUGAAAAUCUCUGCAUGUCUUGGCAUCAAUCUUCCCCUGGGUCUAGAUGGUCUCAGCACAGCCUACUGGGGUCCAAAGGACACGCUCUGCUCCCAGCUCUUCCUUCUUGAGAGGUCCCUCUCCUUCUGCUCAUUUCUCUCUCCUUUUGUUUCUUGUAAAUCCUCGCAACUGGACCAAUAAGGGACAUCAUGAUAAAUGAAAAGAUUGGUGAUGUCAAGGAUUUCAUUUUACUUGGUUCUGCAUUCAAUGCCUGUGGAAGCAUCAGUCAAGAAAUCAAAUGAUGCAUUGCAUUGGGCAAAUCUGCUGCAAAAGACCUCUUUAAAGUGUUAAAAAGCAAAGAUGUCACUUUGAGGACUCAGAUGCACCUGACCCAAGCCACAGUAUUUUCAAUUGCCUCAUAUGCAUGUGAAAGUUGAAUAAGGAAGACCAAAGAAGAAUUGAUGCCUUUGGAUUAUGGUAUGGGGGAAGAAUAUUGAAUAUACCAUUUUUUUUUUUUUUUUUGCCAAAAAAAUGAACAAAUCUGUCUUGGAAGAAGUACGGCCAGAAUGCAAGUUAGAAGCAAGGAUGGUGAGAGUUCGUGUCAUGUACUUUGGACAUGUUUUUCAGAGGCUCAAGUCCCUGGUGAAGGACAUCAUACUAGGUAAAGUAGAGAGGGUCAGCAAAAAAGAGGAAGAUGCUCAAUGAGAUGGAUUGACACAGUGGCUGUAAAAAUGGGCUCAAACAUAACAACAAUUGUGAGGAUGGCGCAGAACCAGCAGUGUUUCAUUCUGUUGUACAUAGGGUUGCUAUGAAUGGGAACUGACUCGAUAGCACCUAACAAAAGAAAAGCUAUGACUUAAGCAAGGGUGUGACUUGAGUAAGGUCAUGACUUAAGUAAGGCAUUGAAACUCAAGAUAUACCCCACUCUAAUCCCUUCUCAUAGAUCCCUUCUCAUAGAGUUUUAGAAUUUACAACACAUAAAAUGGAGGAUAGUUACAUAGUAUCGCAAAAUAGGGGAUAAUUAAAUCAAAUACAAAUGGAGAAUAAUUAUAUACUACUGGGAUCAUGGCCUAGCCAAGUUGACACGUAUUUUGGGGGGACACAAUUCAAUCUUGACAAGUUUAUAUGGAUAUUUGCAGUUUAAAUAAAAUAUUACGUUCUUCCAUAUUUCUUUUACUUUUCAUAUGUGUACCUUUCUGUUUUGCAAAAACUUUUAUGGCUAAUGAUAUUAGUGUAAUCACUUAUUUAAUUUAUCUAUCUAUCUAAUGAUAAACAACACCA